rnacentral:misc_RNA from 1 species
UCGAAUUCCAAAGCUUCACUUUUACAAAGGCUCUAAUUGGGUCACCACCAGUGGGCUACGAACCACAUGUUUUCCAUCGGACCAAGAAAGCCAACCAAAAACAGCGCCCACAUCGCCCAGAGCCAGAUUCUGAUUGUCGGCUGAUAUUGCCACUACGAAGCUCUGUUUCUUCACCGUCGAUGAAAAUACCAGUUUCGAUGGUUUUACCUUCACUGUAACCCCCUUUGGAGCUUCGAUUUUAGCUCUGUACACUGAAUUUGAUGGACCCACGUUCGUCGCCGUUCGGAUAAACGACUUCGUCGACCACCCUUUUGAUAGACUAGAAAAUACUGCUACGAUUGAUGGGUAAUUGAGAUUUUCCGGUAAUGGUUUUUUCGCCGGACAUGUCACGGGUUUUCUUGUUAUUACCUGAAUCAUCUUCGGUCCGUACCCGAUUGAGCAUAAGAAGUUUAUGUAAUCGGCGUUCG